GGGGAUGCCAGGCAUAGACAAGGGAAUGUAAAUUUAUAUGCGCAAAACUGAAGUUGGAAUCUUCAUUAAAAGUCCAAAAAGAUAGCUGCAAAAUCUAUCUCUAAAGUAACAGGAGCUAUUUUAUCUCCUUUUACUCCGGCUUACGCAAUAGCCUAAACCGGCGUCCUCUCAGAUGAUGUUUGAUAAUCUGAUUUGGGUGUAAUAUUUUCAAACUAAAAAAUAUGAAUGUCUCGGCAUAUUUUUGAAAUUAAGAGAAUCGGCGCGAGUUUAUUUUGUUUAUUUUUAAGUCCGAGCGCUUAAAUCCGCGAAAGUGGAAAAAUAAACUAUGUUUUGUAAAUACAUCUAAAUUCUUCUUUUGCACGCGAGUUCAAUUCUCGCCAUCUCCACCA
rnacentral:tmRNA from 1 species